AUUUGAUGAAGUCACUUUGUCCUACUUGCCUAAGAGAAGAAGAAAUUAGAGAGGGCAGGAAAGUAAGUAAAUAUUCUUGGAAGAGUUAGAGAAAUAGAAGUGGAUGUAAUAUGGUGGAUGACUCCAAUAAUGAUGAAGUAGAGUUGGAGAAGAAAUGAGUGGACUCAAAAAAAGUAAUAUUGGUGCAAAUAAAAUAUCAGUAA
rnacentral:lncRNA from 1 species